CUCAUCAUGAAGGAAAGUGUCCACAGCUGUGAAACAAGUUAAAAUAUACAUUUACAAAGUGAAGCAACUGUUAGAAACUGCAUUUGGAGUUAAUUAGUUUUACAUUGCUGUGAACUUUCUCAAGCACGUUAACUGUUGGGCUGAAAGCAGACGUGUGCGGCUCGACCCUAUGACAUUAUCGAGCUAUUCAUUUUAAACAGAGCCGUACAUAGCCCAGUUAUCUAAAGUGCGAGCAACAUCUGGCAAAGUCGCAGUUGGUUUGCCCAUAUGGGACGCUGGUUAAAGAAGCUUCUUAUCAGAACAGCCAUCAGUGGGGCUUGGCGGAGGCGGGAGCGGAAAAACGAAUCUUCAGGCCCAGACGAGAAAACCAUCACAGGACCCUAUCGACAAAGAAUCGACAUCCGUGUGCCAAGAUACCCCGAAGCAACUCACCA